AUAGUAUUGCACUCAAAAACCAAGGAAAAUACAAAAACAAGCAUCUCUCCCCCCCUUCUCUCCCCCAAAAAAAGGUAGUAGUAAAAAAAACUUAGGAAGGGAGUGGGGGUGGGGGGAGCGAGUUGGGGAAGAAGUUGAGAAGAGAGAAGCCUAAACAAAUACCUAAAGCUAAAAGAGAAACCAAUUCUUGAUUUUCACCAAAUACCAAAUUUGCUUUGCUUUGCUAUUUCUCCUUGAAGUUUUCAACUUUCUUGCAUUUUGCUCAAAGUACAGUGUUCAAGUUGAUAUCUUUAGUGGAAAAAAGAUGCCUAGACCUGGACCAAGACCUUAUGAGUGUGUUAGAAGAGCUUGGCAUAGUGAUAGACACCAACCCAUGAGAGGUUCUAUCAUACAACAAAUUUUCAGGGUUGUAAGAGAAAGACAUAGUGUUGUUACAAAGAAGAAUAGAGAAUGGCAACAGAAACUUCCUGUCGUUGUCUUGAAAGCUGAGGAGAUUAUGUAUUCCAAAGCUAACUCUGAGGCUGAAUAUAUGGAUCCUGAAACACUUUGGGAUAGGGUAAAUGAUGCCAUUGAUACCAUUAUUAGGAGAGAUGAGACUGAGACUGGACAACUAUUGCCUCCUUGUAUUGAAGCUGCUCUUAAUCUUGGCUGUAUACCGGAGAGAGCAUCUAGGAGCCAGCGGAACAGUAUGCCUAGGAGUUACCUCAGCCCAAGAACUCAAGAACCUCAUUGUGUACCUCCUAAAGUUUUUAGUAGAAGUGGCAAUGAGCUAAACUCUAACUCAGCGUUACCUAUUCGCUCUUCAAACCAACCAUUGUUCUUGAGACCUUCAAAUGUCAAUUCACCAAGAUUAGUUUCAGAGUUUGACAGGCCUGUAGUGCCCUGCAUCAACAAUCUAGGUGCUUCCUCAAGUGGGAAAGCCAUUAUUAUUCCGGAAAGUAGUAGUUCUUUGGAUGUGGGUUCAGUAUAUCCAUUGUUUUAUGGUACUGAUCUUCAGCCUGAAGUUUCUCCGUUGGUCCCCCGAGAACCUCAACAUAACGUAAUCGUUGGUAAACCUGUAUAUCCGACUAUCGUCGAGUCUUCUGAAAUCAGCUGCUUCCCGAGCUUGUUUCCUUGCAGGAGAGAUGAUAUUCAAGAAAAAUCAUAUCAACCAGAUUAUAGGGACAAUAUUAGGAGGGUGCCUGAAUUGGACUGUGAUUUGUCCUUAAGGUUGGGUUUCUCUGCAAACUCUGGCAUGCAAUUGCAACAAGGUCAAACUAGUUGCAUUGGUGAUUUCAGGCGAAGCGACGAUUCUCAUGAAGGAGACCAGUUCAAGCUUAUGUUGACCAGUAAAGGGAAAGAGUUUACUUUCUUUCCUGCGGAGUCUGCCAAUAGUCCAUCAGGAAUGCAUAGAGCUCAUGAAAAUUUGGAGGGUUAUGGUCACAAUACAGAAACACUAUUUAGGAUGCAUAAAAUGCCUGUUAGACCAAGUGAUGCAUUUCAGGGAAGAUAUGAGUUCGACGCUGUGUCAACCAGCAAAGACAAAGAGCAUCCUUUCUUUCUUGCAGAAUCUGCCAAUAGUCCCUCCGGUUUGCAAAUAGGUCGGGCGAAUUUAGAGGGUGAACAUCAGAAUGCUGAAACACUACUUAGGAAACGUAAGAUGCCAUUCCAUAACAAUAUGGAACUUGGACAAUUUUUGUGGCAAGAUGAGCGAACUUUGAACCGUUUUCCUGGUCAAAUGAAAAGGCCAGAGAUCUGGACUGCAUUGCCAAAACCUUGCCUACACUUGAUGUAUAUCCAGUGCUGGGGAGUGCUUGACGCCAGGCGUAAGAUCAGUUCAGAUCGUUGUUGGACAGCUUUAACAAGUUUGAAGUGAUGAUGUCUAUCGCAUGGAAGAAAAUGAUUCUCCGCCACCGUAAAAGACAAGUUUGGUCCGUAACCUUGAACGUUUUCCCCAGAAACCUGUUCACAGGCUUGGAGUAAGAUUACUGUGAUUGACUAGUUGAAAUAGAAGAAGAGAGUUGGGAAAGCAUCUCUUUUAAGUGGGCGUUUUAGCUAAGUAAUUAAAAGCCCUAUCUUGCAGUGUAUUGCCUAAAAUACGCCAUAGUGAACACACCUCAGAAAAGGUCUCUGCUGCUGUAUAUGUCAAAAAGUUGGAACUUUUUCCAUCAGGCCUGCCAAAUACAUCCACGAAUGUUGGGGCUUAGUUUGUUGUGAGCCUCUUGACUUCUCUUAGAUGAAAUUACUGGAGACUUCUGUGGAGAAAGAAAAGAUAUGCAUUAAAUAAAGGUUUAAAGCAGCCUUAGUUCGGCUAUAUCACAAAAAUAGCAGGGAAUUGAUCAUCUGAGACCCUGUUGCUACAAACAGAUCUGCUGAAAGAGCUACCAGCUAGAUCUUCCCAGAAAACUGAGCAUACAAAAGGGGUGGUGUUACAAAAACAUGAGUCUUGUCAAAAAAAUUCAAAGUUGCUCCCAUCUCGGCCAUCAUGUCAGCAACUCUGUUUUGUUCCCUGAAGCUAUGCUGAACAGUCGGUCCUCCCAAGCUCCUUAGCGUUGACCUGCAGUGAUUAAUAAGUGGAUCAUAUAGAAGGUUGCCUUUCUGUAAUAUGAUUUUCAUGUUAAUUUCCAGAGGCCUUAGAUUGUGCUCAAUAACAAGUUCCAGGCCUUUUUUGAGAGCACACAUCUCCAUGAGGUUGUUGGUAGCAUGGGUAAAGCUUUUGCUGAAGCCAAUUAUCCAGUCUCCUCUACCAUUUCUGAUUAUCCCUCCUAUACCCCCAUUCCCCGGCUUCCCUGAAGGAUAAUUCCUUCUUAAUUAAUGCAAAGAUUAAAAACUCUUAUAUCUCUCUGUAAUAAAUUUGUGUGAACAUUCGUAAGUCAUAGGAGUUAAUAGGAUGUGGGAGUUACUACUUCAUAAAUGUAUAUUUAUUCAAAUGACGAUUAAAUGUAGCUUUGUGAAUGAAAGAUAUUCAUAAGUC